GUGCCAGCCGCCGCGGUAAUACGUAAGGUUCAAGUGUUAUCCGGAAUUAUUGGGCGUAAAGCGUUCGUAGGUGGAUUUGUAAGUUAAAUUUGAAAUGUCCAGGCUUAACUUGGAAUUUGGAUUUAAUACUGUAAAUCUAGAGUAUAGUUGGGGUAAGUGGAACUCUCGGUGUAGCAGUGAAAUGCGUUGAUAUCGAGAGGAACACCAAUGGCGAAGGCAGCUUACUAGGCUAUUACUGACGCUCAGGAAC
rnacentral:rRNA from 1 species